UACGUAGGGGGCAAGCGUUGUCCGGAUUUAUUGGGCGUAAAGAGCGUGUAGGCGGCCUGACAGGUCUGCUGUGAAAACUCGAGGCUCAACCUCGAGAUGUCGGCGGAAACCGUCUGGCUAGAGUCCGGAAGAGGAGAGUGGAAUUCCUGGUGUAGCGGUGAAAUGCGCAGAUAUCAGGAGGAACACCGAUUGCGAAGGCAGCUCGCUGGGACGUUACUGACGCUGAGACGCGAAAGCGUGGGGAGCAAACAGG
rnacentral:rRNA from 1 species